UUAAAUAAGGCGGAGCUAUUGGGAAAAUUUUGCAUAAUUGUUCCCAGUUUGCUAAGCUGAUCUGACUCUUAAAAGCUCACUUAAAAUCCUCUGUUGGAAUGAGUAGCAUUAGUCAGUAUUGCAGCAUUUCUCUUAUUCCAGUAGCUGUAGUGGAACUGGUAUUUGUAAAAAGUCACUCUUUUAUGAUCGAGAAGAAUCUAAAAUCUACCUGAGCAGCAAGUGUUCUGUGAAGGAAACGGAGAAGAGGUGAAAUAUCUGAAGGAUUAAGACAGCACAUUCAACAGAUCAAGGUUCAUUUACUCUAACAAAUCUGGGCUGCUUUGUAACAAAGGCUUCCAUUUGACAGCAUGUGAAGUACGACAAACUGUCAAACUUAAAAUGCUUGGAUAUUUAGGUUGCUCCACUGGCUGGAAAAAUUAGCUUCAUGGGGUGACUUUUGGAUCCGCAAAUGCUGUGCUGCUGUCCUUUGGGAGGAAUGCCACGUCAUAGGGUGGGUGGUGAAAUUCUGCCUUGGGACAGAAGUGGACUGAAGGAUGCACACCUUCAUGCAGGUUUAAAAAGGAAGAAACUGAUGAUUAAAAGAAGACGGUGCUCUAAGCAACAUGAUAGAGUUGUAGAUGUCCCCGUUCCUGGCAUGGGAGUUGGAAUGGGUGACCUUUAAGGGUCCUUUCCAACUCAAUUCUGUGAUUCUAUGAGUCUGUGAGAAUGAAUGCUGUCCUUGGCGAAGUGCUUUGAGAUCUGUGGACCGACACUGAGGUUCUCAUAGGGAAUUGUGAGCACAGAGCUCAGCAAACAAGAGGAAGGUGAGCACGGGGAUGGAAAGUGGUGGCAUUCAGAACAGUGACAGUGGAGGAUGAUGGCUGAAAUAUGAAAUCCCUAUGCUGUGUGUAUCCUCAUGAGAAGCAGGUGCUGCUACCAGGCUGCAAAGUGGGGGGCUGCAGCUUGCUCGCAGUUGGCAGCGAGGAGGAGCUGGGAGCCUCCAGGUUCACUCUUCCACCCAAGCUGUCAGCACCCCCCAUGUCAGACGUGCGGAGGUGACUCGCAUCCAUCUGAUGUGACAGGAACCAGGAACCCUGCCACCCCAACGUGAUACAAAAAUCACUCCCCAGUCUUUCUUAAAAAGAACAAUGAUGGAGGUGUGAUUCUUUCAUCGAAAGAGACAUCCAUGGGGUGUCAGCUAGAGAAAGACCGAUCCCUGCAGCCCAUACUACAAGAAGCCUUGCUAUGGCUGAGGACUGCCUGCGUCAGUGAGCUGGUGGUUAUUUUGGGUGGUCGCCGUAUGUCUGGUGUGUCUCUGACUCUAAAUGGGACUUCUGUGUUUCUAAAGUCUGAAUAAAAAAUACUCACUUGGUGUGACA
rnacentral:lncRNA from 1 species